ensembl:ncRNA F48C5.7 ncRNA
ACUAAUCAAACUAAGAUUUAUGUUCUCAACGGACAAUCUGAUCUGAGUUUGAGAAAUCAAAAAUAUUUGACUCGUAAAUGCAAUCCACAUUUUUCUUGUUAUAUGGUGACGUGGGACACGCUGUAUUGACCAGGAUUUAUGACAGG